rnacentral:lncRNA from 1 species
GACAAAGUGUCCAUUGCAGAAAAAGGAAACGAAGAAGUGCUUGGGAGCUCAUUAUAUGCCUCUAGCUGUCAAUAUGAUGACUAACAUCAAAUUGCAGAUUAACAAAACAAAGCAUUUCGCCUGCCUUCCUGGUUGGAGAGACUUCUUUAGUAGUCCACAUCGGCGAUGCCUCCUGGUGUUAUCUAAAAAAAGUGUGUUUGUCAAGUCCAACAUAUAUGGAAUAUCUUGGUCUCAUCUUAUUGACAGAUGAGCUCUUGCUAAAUUUUCUGACAAAAUUGAGCAAUGGUCUUGAUAGAUGUGCAUCGUCUACGUAACAGUAGAGCUAAUAAUAAUAAACCAGUCCUGCUGAGAAAAUUAUCAAGAUCCACUUCUUUUUGUUUAAUUCCUCUGCACAAAAUUUGUAUUCAACAUGUUCAUGGAUCUCCAGGCAACAUCAACUAUGCUGUGAGUAUCAUGCUUAAAUCAGAUAUCCACCAAUUCCUAUAUAGACGCAGUAUCAACUUUCUCACAGAUUUAAUAUAGACUUCUAGAUAUUUUACUUAGUAUCUGCAGUAUGAUGUGAUGAGUUUCAAUAAAUUAUAUAAUCAGAGGAAGAUUUGGCACAAAAAGGAUAUAGCUUCAGCUUCAGGUAGGUUUGGGGCAUCAAACACCAUGGAGACAUGCUGCUCCCUUCUGACUUUCCUAAACAUCA